CCUACGGGAGGCAGCAGUGAGGAAUAUUGGUCAAUGGGCGAGAGCCUGAACCAGCCAAGUCGCGUGAAGGAUGACGGCCCUAUGGGUUGUAAACUUCUUUUGUCAGGGAGCAAUUGAGUCCACGUGUGGGCUUAGCGAGAGUACCUGAAGAAAAAGCAUCGGCUAACUCCGUGCCAGCAGCCGCGGUAAUACGGAGGAUGCGAGCGUUAUCCGGAUUUAUUGGGUUUAACGGGUGCGUAGGCGGAAUAUCCAGUCAGCGGUAAAAAUUCGGGGCUCAACACCGUCGUGCCGUUGAAACUGAUGUU
rnacentral:rRNA from 1 species